AAUAUUGGGCAAUGGGCGAAAGCCUUACCCAGCAACGCCGCGUGAGGGAAGAAGGNUUNNGGAUUNUNAACCUCUGUCCUUGGNNNNNAAGAAAGUGACGGUACCCAGGGAGGAAGCCCCGGCUAACUACGUGCCAGCAGCCGCGGUAAUACGUAGGGGGCGAGCGUUGUCCGGAAUUAUUGGGCGUAAAGGGCGCGUAGACGGCCGGAUAAGUUACUUGUGAAAGCCCGCCUUUCAAGGGCGGAACUGCAAGUAAUACUGUCUGGCUUGAGUGCAGGAGAGGGAAGCGGAAUUCCUAGUGUAGCGGUGAAAUGCGUAGAUAUUAGGAGGAACACCAGUGGCGAAGGCGGCUUUCUGGACUGUAACUGACGUUGAGGCGCGAAAGCGUGGGGAGCAAACAGG
rnacentral:rRNA from 1 species